GGCAUGGACCCCUCUUGGAUUGAACAACCACACAGACACUCAUUCACGAUCAGGAUUUUCUCAUUUGUAAUUGAAAGAUGCAAGACAUCACUCACAAUUUUUGUAGAUUUGUACAAUUAUAAACGGUACAGUCUCUCGCAUAGCCUUUCGCCUGUCUUUGUUUAUACUCUGUAUAUAAUUAAAUCUCGUAUAUAAAAUGUCCCUUCGGCUUCGGCGAUUUCAAUCUUUAAAUAAUCCAAUGUCCAAUUUUGUGCAGCUUUUUAAUACAUUGUGACACAACAUCCAACAUCUUUUAUAUUAAAAAUAAAAUUUCCAUUGAUAGACAGCAGAUUUCAACGACCAAAACGACUCUUCGUUUCCUAUGAAGAGUUAAUACACUCCUAUCUACUCCUAUAGUCAGCCAUAUUUAUUAGUAAAAGUUCGUGUUCAAUUUCCGCAUUCCAUUGUUUUCAUGCGACCAAUCAAAUCACUU
rnacentral:lncRNA from 1 species